rnacentral:rRNA from 1 species
CAGUAGCCGCGGGAAUACAGAGGGUGCGAGCGUUAAUCGGAUUUACUGGGCGUAAAGCGUGCGUAGGCGGCUUCUUAAGUCGGAUGUGAAAUCCCUGAGCUUAACUUAGGAAUUGCAUUCGAUACUGGGAAGCUAGAGUAUGGGAGAGGAUGGUAGAAUUCCAGGUGUAGCGGUGAAAUGCGUUGAGAUCUGGAGGAAUACCGAUGGCGAAGGCAGCCAUCUGGCCUAAUACUGACGCUGAGGUACGAAAGCAUGGGGAGCAAACAGGAUUAGAUACCCCUGUAGUCCCUGUCUCUUAUAC